rnacentral:rRNA from 1 species
UACGAUGGGGGCUAGCGUUGUUCGGAAUUACUGGGCGUAAAGCGCGUGUAGGCGGGGCGGUAAGUCGGGGGUGAAAGCCCAGAGCUCAACUCUGGAAUUACCUUCGAUUCUGGCGGCCUGCAGCAUGAUAGAGGCGAGUGGAAGUUCGAGUGUAGAGGUGAAAUUCGUAGACAUUUGCAGGAACACCAGUGGCGAAGGCGACUCGCUGGAUCAAUGCUGACGCUGAGACGCGAAAGCGUGGGGAGCAAACAGG